rnacentral:lncRNA from 1 species
CCUCCUUGCUGUAUGAGUUCCUUGAGGCUAUGUGUAUUUUAAUUGGCCUCACAUUAUGUCCUAUGAGACUUUCGAUUAUAUUAUAAAGUGAUAUAUGAAUGAUUGCUACCUUAGCAUGCUAUCAAGAUCUUGUGUGAUUCGACUCUAUGGGGCAUGUCUAGAAAAGUAGUACACAUAAAAUUGAGUAGUAUGAGUGUGAUUGGAAGACUAAUUUUUGAUUACAUUUUUACAUAUGUUCACUAGUUGGCCAAUUAUGUUUACUUUUGGAAAGUUUAAACAUAAUUAUGGAUACAUGGUGAGAAUAGAAAGUCAAGUAUAGUUUUUGAGGGAUUAAACAUACUUGGUUUGAUGUAACAAAAUAAGUUUGGGGCAUUGCGAGACACAUAUUUAUUUCACCAAAAUAUUUACAUUUUUUUGGGGAUUUAAAACUACCAUGUCAUCCCUAAUAGUGCAUGGUUUGAGCUUCCCAAUAUAGAUGUGCUCAUCGAUCGCAUGAUCCAUUUUUCUAUAUGAAUUAUUUUUUAUGAUAAUGUAGAGAUUUGUGCUUUGAGAUAUGCAUGGAUAGGGAGAAGCCCAUCAUAUGUGAGUGGGAAAUGUCAGAAACAUGGAUUUGAAACCGCUCAUGAUGGGCUUAUUUAAAACUCCCCACUAUUUGGAUAACUACCCAGUAUUUAAGUAAGAGUGGGAAGUUAUUCGUUAUCUCAAUGUAACUAUAAAAGAUAGUAUUUUCUCGAUUGGAGACUUAAAAAAAGGUAUGAUGAACAGUAGGAAGAAGUUUUUUUCUUUCUGGGGCUCUUAAACUAUCUCUAUGACUUAUCAAAAAGUAAGUGGAUUUGGGUAGUGGACGAAAGAUAUUUAUCCAUUUGUGAUUUACAUCUGACUAUGAGUAUAUUUACUGAUUGGUGAUUCACUCUAUAUAGUUCCUUGGGAUAAUAUAUUUUUAAAUUUAAAUUUACUUUUAAUUAUGUUAAUUAUCCAAAAAUUUCUUCAAAUAUAAAAGUCACCCAAGGCCAUCACAACACUAUAUACAGUCAAAAAAGACCAGACAAUGAGCUAGUCAUGCACUCUUAGAUAAAGAAUCUCUACCAUUAGUUGUUUUGAAGACUUAAUUCACCAUAUCCUUACCAUUCGUAUCCCUACCAUUAGUUGUUCUGACCAGUUAGUUUGGGGCAGUACCAAACUUGAUUCUAUG